rnacentral:misc_RNA from 1 species
AAGGUGCAAUGCCAUGUCUCAAGAGUUUAUCUUUAAGUUUAGAAAAACUGAAGAUGAUUCCAGAAGGGUUGAGGUUUCUCACUACUGUCCGAGAAUUGAAACUCAUUCAUAUGGUGACAUGUGAAGAAAGGGUUCGAGUCGUAAAUGGAGUCGAAGGAGAGGAUUUUGACAAGGUCCGGCACAUACCAUCCAUCUCAUUCAAUUAGUCAUGCAAAUUCUUGACAGAAUUUCAGUGUUAUGUGAGUGUAUUGUUGCAAUAGGACUGAUGUAUCCCACUUCUACUGUA